GUGGGGAAUAUUGGGCAAUGGGCGCAAGCCUGACCCAGCAACGCCGCGUGAAGGAAGAAGGCUUUCGGGUUGUAAACUUCUUUUACCAGGGACGAAACAAAUGACGGUACCUGGUGAAUAAGCCACGGCUAACUACGUGCCAGCAGCCGCGGUAAUACGUAGGUGGCGAGCGUUAUCCGGAUUUAUUGGGUGUAAAGGGCGUGUAGGCGGGCCAGCAAGUCAGAUGUGAAAACCAGAGGCUCAACCUCUGGCCUGCAUUUGAAACUGUUGUUCUUGAGUGUCGGAGUGGUAAUCGGAAUUCCGUGUGUAGCGGUGAAAUGCGUAGAUAUACGGAGGAACACCAGUGGCGAAGGCGGAUUACUGGACGAUAACUGACGCUGAGGCGCGAAAGCGUGGGGAGCAAACAGGAUUAGAUACCCGGGUAGUCC
rnacentral:rRNA from 1 species